rnacentral:tRNA from 1 species
UCUAAUAUGACAGAAUUUAUGUACUGGAUUUAAACCCCAUCNAUAAAGGAUUNAUCCUUUUUUUAGAA